GCUAACUCCGUGCAGCAGCCGCGGUAAUACGAGGAUCCGAGCGUAUCGGAUUAUUGGUUUAAAGGKGCGUAGKKGUUGAUAAGUCAGCGUGAAAGUUGCAGCUUAACUGUAAAAAUGCCGUUGAAACUGUCGGACUUGAGUGUAAAUGAGGUAGGCGGAAUGCGUGGUGUAGCGGUGAAAUGCAUAGAUAUCACGCAGAACUCCGAUUGCGAAGGCAGCUUACUAAGCUACAACUGACACUGAAGCACGAAAGCGUGGGGAUCAAACAGGAUUAGAUACCCUGGUAGUCCACGCAGUAAACGAUGAUUACUAGCUGUUUGCGAUACACAGUAAGCGGCACAGCGAAAGCGUUAAGUAAUCCACCUGGGGAGUACGCCGGCAACGGUGAAACUCAAAGGAAUUGACGGGGGCCCGCACAAGCGGAGGAACAUGUGGUUUAAUUCGAUGAUACGCGAGGAACCUUACCCGGGUUUGAACGUAGGGAGACAGGGGUGGAAACAUCCUUUUCAGCAAUGACUGCCUACGAGGUGCUGCAUGGUUGUCGUCAGCUCGUGCCGUGAGGUGUCGGCUUAAGUGCCAUAACGAGCGCAACCCUUAUUUCCAGUUACUAACAGGUGAUGCUGAGGACUCUGGAGAGACUGCCAGCGUAAGCUGUGAGGAAGGUGGGGAUGACGUCAAAUCAGCACGGCCCUUACAUCCGGGGCGACACACGUGUUACAAUGGUAAGGACAAAGGGCAGCUACCGGGCGACCGGAUGCGAAUCUCUAAACCUUAUCUCAGUUCGGAUCGGAGUCUGCAACUCGACUCCGUGAAGCUGGAUUCGCUAGUAAUCGCGCAUCAGCCAUGGCGCGGUGAAUACGUUCCCGGGCCUUGUACACACCGCCCGUCAAGCCAUGGGAGCCGGGGGUACCUGAAGUUCGUAACCGCARGGAUCGACCUAGGGUAAAACUGGUGACUGGGGCUAAGURGURRCAAGGUAACC
rnacentral:rRNA from 1 species